GGGGACCCGCACAAGCGGCGGAGCAUGCGGAUUAAUUCGAUGCAACGCGAAGAACCUUACCAAGGCUUGACAUAUACGAGAACGGGCCAGAAAUGGUCAACUCUUUGGACACUCGUAAACAGGUGGUGCAUGGUUGUCGUCAGCUCGUGUCGUGAGAUGUUGGGUUAAGUCCCGCAACGAGCGCAACCCUCGUUCUAUGUUGCCAGCACGUAAUGGUGGGAACUCAUGGGAUACUGCCGGGGUCAACUCGGAGGAAGGUGGGGAUGACGUCAAAUCAUCAUGCCCCUUAUGUCUUGGGCUUCACGCAUGCUACAAUGGCCGGUACAAAGGGCUGCAAUACCGCGAGGUGGAGCGAAUCCCAAAAAGCCGGUCCCAGUUCGGAUUGAGGUCUGCAACUCGACCUCAUGAAGUCGGGGUCGCUAGUAAUCGCAGAUCAGCAACGCUGCGGUGAAUACGUUCCCGGGCCUUGUACACACCGCCCGUCAAGUCACGAAAGUUGGUAACACCCGAAGCCGGUGGCCUAACCCCUUGUGGGAGGGAGCUGUCGAAGGUGGGACUGGCGAUUGGGACUAAGU
rnacentral:rRNA from 1 species